rnacentral:rRNA from 1 species
UACGGAGGGAGCAAGCGUUACUCGGAAUUAUUGGGCGUAAAGGGCGCGUAGGCGAUUUGAAAAGUCUUGUGUGAAAGCCCCGAGCUUAACUCGGGAAGUGCACAAGAAACUGUUGAAUUUGAGUUCCGGAGAGGAAGGCAGAAUUCCCGGUGUAGCGGUGAAAUGCGUAGAUAUCGGGAGGAAUACCAGUGGCGAAGGCGGCCUUCUGGACGGAUACUGACGCUGAGGCGCGAAAGCCCAGGGGAGCAA